rnacentral:rRNA from 1 species
GACGAACGCUGGCGGCGUGCUUAACACAUGCAAGUCGAACGGAAAGGCCCUGCUUGCAGGGUACUCGAGUGGCGAACGGGUGAGUAACACGUGGGUGAUCUGCCCUUCACUUCGGGAUAAGCCUGGGAAACUGGGUCUAAUACCGGAUAGGAGCCAUUUUUAGUGUGAUGGUUGGAAAGUUUUUUCGGUGUAGGAUGAGCUCGCGGCCUAUCAGCUUGUUGGUGGGGUAAUGGCCUACCAAGGCGGCGACGGGUAGCCGGCCUGAGAGGGUGGACGGCCACAUUGGGACUGAGAUACGGCCCAGACUCCUACGGGAGGCAGCAGUGGGGAAUAUUGCACAAUGGGCGCAAGCCUGAUGCAGCGACGCCGCGGGGGGGAGGACGGCCUUCGGGUUGGAAACUCCUUUCGCUAGGGACGAAGCUUUUUGUGACGGUACCUAGAUAAGAAGCACCGGCUAACUACGUG